GGAGAGGUGGCAGAGUGGUCGAUCGCGCCUGACUCGAAAUCAGGUGAGCCCGCAAGGGUUCCGUGGGUUCGAAUCCCACCCUCUCCGCCA
rnacentral:tRNA from 1 species